rnacentral:rRNA from 1 species
UUGAACGCUGGCGGCAGGCCUAACACAUACACGUCGAGCGGAUGAAGGGAGCUUGCUCCUGGAUUCAGCGGCGGACGGGUGAGUAAUGCCUAGGAAUCUGCCUGGUAGUGGGGGAUAACGUCCGGAAACGGGCGCUAAUACCGCAUACGUCCUGAGGGAGAAAGUGGGGGAUCUUCGGACCUCACGCUAUCAGAUGAGCCUAGGUCGGAUUAGCUAGUUGGUGGGGUAAAGGCCUACCAAGGCGACGAUCCGUAACUGGUCUGAGAGGAUGAUCAGUCACACUGGAACUGAGACACGGUCCAGACUCCUACGGGAGGCAGCAGUGGGGAAUAUUGGACAAUGGGCGAAAGCCUGAUCCAGCCAUGCCGCGUGUGUGAAGAAGGUCUUCGGAUUGUAAAGCACUUUAAGUUGGGAGGAAGGGCAGUAAGUUAAUACCUUGCUGUUUUGACGUUACCAACAGAAUAAGCACCGGCUAACUUCGUG